rnacentral:rRNA from 1 species
UACGUAGGUGGCGAGCGUUGUCCGGAAUUACUGGGUGUAAAGCGCGUGUAGGCGGGAGGCCAAGUCUGUGGUGAAAUCGCUCGGCUUAACUGGGCGGGGUCCAUGGAAACUGGUCACCUGGAGGUCGGUAGAGGCAAGUGGAAUUCCCGGUGUAGUGGUGAAAUGCGUAGAGAUCGGGAGGAACACCAGUGGCGAAGGCGGCUUGCUGGGCCGGACCUGGACGCUGAGACGCGAAGGCGUGGGGAGC